rnacentral:tRNA from 1 species
GGCACUAUGGCGGAGUGGUUAACGCGAGAGAUUAGAAAUCUCUUCAACUGGUUCACGAGUCUAGUGGUGGUG